GGGUGACUAGUCUAGUGGUCAGGACGCUUCGUUGUGGGAUCUCGGCGAUGUUUGUUGGCUUCCCUUUGGAAUCCCCAGUGGUUCCCAACGACCGAAGAAACCCCGGUUCGAUUCCGGGGUCGCCCA